rnacentral:rRNA from 1 species
GUAGUCGGUCCCAAGGGUUGGGCUGUUCGCCCAUUAAAGCGGUACGCGAGCUGGGUUCAGAACGUCGUGAGACAGUUCGGUCCCUAUCCGUCGUGGGCGUAGGAAAUUUGAGAGGAGCUGUCCUUAGUACGAGAGGACCGGGAUGGACAUACCUCUGGUGUACCAGUUGUCGUGCCAACGGCAUAGCUGGGUAGCUAUGUGUGGACGGGAUAAGUGCUGAAAGCAUCUAAGCAUGAAGCCCCCCUCAAGAUGAGAUUUCCCAACUUCGGUUAUAAGAUCCCUCAAAGAUGAUGAGGUUAAUAGGUUCGAGGUGGAAGCAUGGUGACAUGUGGAGCUGACGAAUACUAAUCGAUCGAAGACUUAAUCAAAA